AUUGAACGCUGGCGGCAUGCCUUACACAUGCAAGUCGAACGGUAACAGCACUUCGGUGGCUGACGAGUGGUGAACGGGUGAGUAAUACAUAGGAACGUGUCUAGUAGUGGGGGAUAACUACUCGAAAGAGUAGCUAAUACCGCAUGCGAUCUAAGGAUGAAAGCAGGGGACCUUCGGGCUUUGCGCCACUAGAGCGGCUGCUGGCAGAUUAGGUAGUUGGUGGGAUAAAAGCUUACCAAGCCGACGAUCUGUAGCUGGUCUGAGAGGACGACCAGCCACACUGGAACUGAGACACGGCCCAGACUCCUACGGGAGGCAGCAGUGGGGAAUUUUGGGCAAUGGGCGCAAGCCUGAUCCAGCAAUGCCGCGUGCAGGAUGAAGGCCUUCGGGUUGUAAACUGCUGUUGUACGGAACGAAAAGCCCUCUUCUAAUACAGGAGGGUCAUGACGGUACCGAAAGAAUAAGCACCGGCUAACUACGUG
rnacentral:rRNA from 1 species